GAUGAACGCUGGCGGCGCGCCUAACACAUGCAAGUCGAACGAUUAAAGCACCUUCGGGUGUGUAUAAAGUGGCGAACGGCUGAGUAACACGUGGGCAACCUGCCCCUUUCAUUGGGAUAGCCACGGGAAACCGUGGAUAAUACCGAAUACUUCGAGACUUCCGCAUGGAAGACUCGAGGAAGCUCCGGCGGAGAGGGAUGGGCCCGCGGCCUGUUAGCUUGUUGGUGGGGUAACGGCCUACCAAGGCAAUGAUGGGUAGCUGGGUUGAGAGACCGACCAGCCAGAUUGGGACUGAGACACGGCCCAGACUCCUACGGGAGGCAGCAGUGGGGAAUCUUGCACAAUGGGCGAAAGCCUGAUGCAGCGACGCCGCGUGCGGGAUGAAGGCCUUCGGGUUGUAAACCGCUUUCAGCAGGGACGAGGCGAAAGUGACGGUACCUGCAGAAGAAGCCCCGGCUAACUACGUG
rnacentral:rRNA from 1 species